AUUAGGGUUCGAUUCCGGAGAGGGAGCCUGAGAAACGGCUACCACAUCUAAGGAAGGCAGCAGGCGCGCAAAUUACCCAAUCCUAAUACAGGGAGGUAGUGACAAGAAAUAACAAUACAGGACCUUUCGGUUUUGUAAUUGGAAUGAGUUAAGUAUAAACCCCUUUACAAGUAUCAAUUGGAGGGCAAGUCUGGUGCCAGCAGCCGCGGUAAUUCCAGCUCCAAUAGCGUAUAUUAAAGUUGUUGCAGUUAAAAAGCUCGUAGUUGGAUUUCUGUUAAUUACUUUAUAUAAUUUUACACUUUUGUGUAGUUAUAUAGUAUUAACAUAAUUCAUAUUACUAUUUUUAGUAUAUGAAAUUUUACUUUGAGAAAAUUAGAGUGCUUAAAGCAGGCUUUUGCCUUGAAUACUUCAGCAUGGAAUAAUAAUUAAAGAUUUUUAUCUUUCUUUUAUUGGUUCUAAGAUAAAAAUAAUGAUUAAUA
rnacentral:rRNA from 1 species